GUCCCGUCACCCCAAUUUCGAUCACAUGUACUACACCAUAGCCACUUUCCUUUGAGUUUCAGUUUUUUGUUGCACCCCUUUGUUCUACAGGAAGCAUAGUACCACUCUGGAUCAUCAAUGAAUACAAUCCUAGCUGCCACCCAAAAAUCGCCAAACUGCAUCAUAUGAAAGAAUGUAUGUGGACAAAAACACAAGACCUGAAAGCAAAUUAGUGGACUGCUCACUGGUGGAAUAUCAACAAUUAGUGGACUAUCAACAAUUAACACCAUAGCUGAAAGAGAUAAGUACUUAGUGGUGGAGGGACAGUUUGUAGUCAGAUUAUUGUUAAUAUUUAUGCAUUAAAGCUAUAAUGUUAUAGACCACAUUGUCUUACUAUUAUUCCAUACAAUUCUUAUGGUAAAAUACAGGUUAAAAAGCCAAGAAGAUGGACCUAGUCUACAACUUUGAGCAGAACUGAAAGGCUGAUUGAAAUGAAAAGAGUCCACAUAGACAGGUAUAUAUCCCAAGAAGUGGGAUACAGUGUGCACCAUGUCAGCAGAACUUCAAAAGGGACUGAAAUCAUAUUCAGUGCAUAUAAAGUUCUUUCAGGGAUCUUAUAUGCUCGCACCACCCGAAGCUUAAGAGCCUGCCUGGUAUUCAUGGGAGAUAUCUGGCUAGCAAGAACAAACAUUUUUUGCUAUUCAAGAAGAAUCAGAGAGGCUUUGUAGAGGGAGAUUGUAUUUUGUAUUAAUAGUUGUACAUGCGUUGUAUAUAUAAGGUCUGAUGACCUUCGUUAUUGAUCGUAACCAUCCUGAUCAAUAAAUACCUAGAGAAUAGGUAUGGGUUAGUGGGCUCAAUGUCCGAUAUGAACAAUUGAUUACCUUAAAUACAUUCUCUAAUCCCAUUGGAUGAGAGAAUGAUUUGGGUAGAUAUAUUGAAAAAAUUAGGUUUCCUAUAUA